rnacentral:tRNA from 1 species
GGAGAUGUAGCUUAGUGGUAGAGCACCUACCUAACAUGCAGGUACCUAUGUGUUGAAAUUACAUCAUCACAG